CUGCAGUCGAUGGCGCUGGGCGUCGGACUGGUCAAAGGACUCGGCAGGCAAGCGAUCUUGUCUUGGGUGAGCUGAGGAGAACGGACGGAAGGAUUAUUGGGUGACGGCGAAGAGCAGCCCCGUCAAAAGGCGCUUACCUGCAGGGUGCAGCCAAAGACUCCGAUCAUGAGCAUGGCGACACACAGGUACUCGGAGAAAACAUCCCACCACGGCUUGAGGACGCGGUACUUGGAGUUCUGCUCGAUGCCGAUGUUUCGGAAUUCUCCCACUGGGAUCAUCCUGACUGCU